GAUGAACGCUGGCGGCGUGCCUAAUACAUGCAAGUCGAACGCUUUGUGGUUCAACUGAUUUGAAGAGCUUGCUCAGAUAUGACGAUGGACAUUGCAAAGAGUGGCGAACGGGUGAGUAACACGUGGGAAACCUACCUCUUAGCAGGGGAUAACAUUUGGAAACAGAUGCUAAUACCGUAUAACAAUGACAACCGCAUGGUUGUUAUUUAAAAGAUGGUUCUGCUAUCACUAAGAGAUGGUCCCGCGGUGCAUUAGCUAGUUGGUAAGGUAAUGGCUUACCAAGGCGAUGAUGCAUAGCCGAGUUGAGAGACUGAUCGGCCACAAUGGGACUGANACACGGCCCAUACUCCUACGGGAGGCAGCAGUAGGGAAGCUUCCACAAUGGGCGAAAGCCUGAUGGAGCAACGCCGCGUGUGUGAUGAAGGGUUUCGGCUCGUAAAACACUGUUGUAAGAGAAGAAUGACAUUGAGAGUAACUGUUCAAUGUGUGACGGUAUCUUACCAGAAAGGAACGGCUAAAUACGUGCCAGCAGCCGCGGUAAUACGUAUGUUCCAAGCGUUAUCCGGAUUUAUUGGGCGUAAAGCGAGCGCAGACGGUUAUUUAAGUCUGAAGUGAAAGCCCUCAGCUCAACUGAGGAAUUGCUUUGGAAACUGGAUGACUUGAGUGCAGUAGAGGAAAGUGGAACUCCAUGUGUAGCGGUGAAAUGCGUAGAUAUAUGGAAGAACACCAGUGGCGAAGGCGGCUUUCUGGACUGUAACUGACGUUGAGGCUCGAAAGUGUGGGUAGCAAACAGGAUUAGAUACCCUGGUAGUCCACACCGUAAACGAUGAGUGCUAGGUGUUUGAGGGUUUCCGCCCUUAAGUGCCGCAGCUAACGCAUUAAGCGCUCCGCCUGGGGAGUACGACCGCAAGGUUGAAACUCAAAGGAAUUGACGGGGACCCGCACAAGCGGUGGAGCAUGUGGUUUAAUUCGAAGCAACGCGAAGAACCUUACCAGGUCUUGACAUCCCUUGACAACUCCAGAGAUGGAGCGUUCCCUUCGGGGACAAGGUGACAGGUGGUGCAUGGUUGUCGUCAGCUCGUGUCGUGAGAUGUUGGGUUAAGUCCCGCAACGAGCGCAACCCUUAUUACUAGUUGCCAGCAUUCAGUUGGGCACUCUAGUGAGGCUGCCGGUGACAAACCGGAGGAAGGUGGGGAUGACGUCAAAUCAUCAUGCCCCUUAUGACCUGGGCUACACACGUGCUACAAUGGCGUAUACAACGAGUUGCCAACCCGCGAGGGUGAGCUAAUCUCUUAAAGUACGUCUCAGUUCGGAUUGUAGGCUGCAACUCGCCUACAUGAAGUCGGAAUCGCUAGUAAUCGNGGAUCAGCACGCCGCGGUGAAUACGUUCCCGGGUCUUGUACACACCGCCCGUCACACCAUGAGAGUUUGUAACACCCAAAGCCGGUGGGGUAACCUUCGGGAGCCAGCCGUCUAAGGUGGGACAGAUGAUUAGGGUGAAGUCGUAACAAGGUAG
rnacentral:rRNA from 1 species